CUACGGGGUGCUGCAGUGGGGAAUAUUGGACAAUGGGGGAAACCCUGAUCCAGCAAUGCCGCGUGUGUGAAGAAGGCCUGCGGGUUGUAAAGCACUUUCGGUUGGGAGGACUGCUUCUAGCACUAAUAUUGUUGGAAGUUGACGUUACCUUCAGAAGAAGCACCGGCUAACUCCGUGCCAGCAGCCGCGGGUAGUACGGAGGGUGCAAGCGUUAAUCGGAAUUACUGGGCGUAAAGCGCGCGUAGGCGGCUAGAUCAGUCGGGUGUGAAAGCCCCGGGCUUAACCUGGGAACUGCAUCCGAUACUGUCGAGCUUGAGUACAGGAGGGGAGAGUGGAAUUCCGCAUGUAGCGGUGAAAUGCGUAGAUAUGUGGAGGAACACCAAUGGCGAAGGCAGCUCUCUGGCCUGAUACUGACGCUGAGGUGCGAAAGCGUGGGGAGCAAACAGGAUUAGAUACCCUUGUAGUC
rnacentral:rRNA from 1 species